AGAGUUUGAUCCUGGCUCAGGACGAACGCUGGCGGCGUGCUUAACACAUGCAAGUGGAGCGACGAACCAGGCUUCGGCCUGGGGCAGAGCCGCGAACGGGUGAGUAACACGUGGGUAACCUGCCUCGAUGACCGGGACAACCCGAGGAAACCCGGGCUAAUACCGGAUGUGCUCUCCCCGCACCAGCGGGGAAUGGAAAGGAAGCUUCGGCCUCCGCAUCGAGAUGGGCCCGCGGCCCAUUAGCUUGUUGGUGAGGUAACGGCUCACCAAGGCUGCGAUGGGUAGCUGGUCUGAGAGGACGAUCAGCCACACUGGGACUGAGACACGGCCCAGACUCCUACGGGAGGCAGCAGUGGGGAAUCUUGCGCAAUGCGCGAAAGCGUGACGCAGCAACGCCGCGUGGGGGAAGAAGGCCUUCGGGUUGUAAAC
rnacentral:rRNA from 1 species